CCUACGGGAGGCAGCAGUGAGGAAUAUUGGUCAAUGGACGAGAGUCUGAACCAGCCAAGUAGCGUGAAGGAUGACUGCCCUAUGGGUUGUAAACUUCUUUUAUAUGGGAAUAAAACGUUCCACGUGUGGGAUUUUGUAUGUACCAUAUGAAUAAGGAUCGGCUAACUCCGUUCCAGCAGCCGCGGUAAUACGGAGGAUCCGAGCGUUAUCCGGAUUUAUUGGGUUUAAAGGGAGCGUAGGUGGAUUGUUAAGUCAGUUGUGAAAGUUUGCGGCUCAACCGUAAAAUUGCAGUUGAAACUGGCAGUCUUGAGUAAAGUAGAGGUGGGCGGAAUUCGUGGUGUAGCGGUGAAAUGCUUAGAUAUCACGAAGAACUCCGAUUGCGAAGGCAGUUCACUGGACUGCAACUGACACUGAGGCUCGAAAGUGUGGGUAUCAAACAGGAUUAGAUACCCUUGUAGUC
rnacentral:rRNA from 1 species